ensembl:snRNA U6 U6 spliceosomal RNA
AUGCUCAUUUUAGCACCAUAUACACUAAAAUGGGAAUGCUAGAAGUGUAGUAGGGUCCCUGAGCAGGGAUGACAGGCAAAUUUGUGAAGGGUUGCAUAUUUUC